rnacentral:lncRNA from 1 species
GGAAUUCAGUGUGUGCUGACAAGCAUGGGGGAGGUCCUAACCCUGAGUGUUGUGGGGGUGAAGGGGACCAAAGAGCCCCAGGAGCAGGUAACACCUCCUCUGCUGCCUGCUUGCUGGGAACACCUCCACUCCCUGCUUCCACCCCAGCCCGGGCACAGGGUCCCGGUCACUCCGUCCUCAGGACUCCAACGGCCUCAGCACAAACUCCCACUUCCUCAGCACCAGUUCAGUGUCCUACACCGAGACGUCGCGGUGCCACACGGAAGCACGGACUGCUCUGUCCAUAGGAACAGUGGCACGCACGCCACGUGGCCAGUGUGGGCCAGCUCAUCAGCACUCACGGCCCGCAACCCAGCCAUGCUCACCACCACCAUGUUCGUCUCCACGAAGGUGGGAUCAACUGAGCAGACGGACAACACCAGCUCCUGGAGUCCUGGGCCAGGUCCUGAGGUCCCAGCCUGGUGCCUGGGAAGGGGGUUUGCCCCUGAGCAGCCUGUGCUGGCUGGAGGAUGCCCAGGGCCCCAGGUGAGCAAUGCCUGCUCCUUACCUGAGCCACCCCACCCUGCUCAUAGACGUGGAGGUGGCACUCCUGCCCAAGGAGGAGCUGGGAGCCCCGGCGCCAGCAGUGACACAUCACUGAGACAGAAGGAGGGCAGGUCUUGGCAUUGAGUCUGGAGGCAUGUGGCCCUGCUCAGCGUGGCUAGGCUGAGCCCUAAGGCUACAGUCAACUCACAAAUGCCUGAGGCCGGCAAGGAAACAGCACCUUCAAGACACCUCAGUGCUACGUGCCAGAAGACCAUCCCAUUAAACACACAAGUCUAGGAUAGCUGUGCUGCGCUGGGAAUCGCUGGGCCACACCCAGCCUGCACACCUGCGCCUGGAGGCCCCUCCACAGAGCAUCGCCUGCUGGAGAAGCUGCUGCAAUGCUGCUUCUUGGUGGACACGCAGCCGAGGCACCUGCAGUCGUCAGACCCUGGCAGGAAACAGACGGCACACACACACUGGGAAACUGGCAGUGUUUAAUCAUGGGACGGUUUAUAGAGGGGAGGCAGGAGCAGGGAAGCCCGGAGAACAGGCCUGAGGGGUGAGAGGAAGGUGUGGCUGCAGGAACCCGGAGCCAGGGCUAUGUGGAGAGGUCCCUGACGCUGGCCCAGAGGCCCUGGGGACCCUCGGAAGAGGAGCUAGGGAGGAGCAGACCUGCAGCCCCCACUGUCCUCCUCCCCCAUCUCCUUCCAGGGCUCCCCACCAACCCAACAGAAAUGGAGGAAUGUGGUCCAUGAGUGUCAGAGCCCCCCCAUAUGCACUGAGGACCUGCUAGGCAGACAGAAGUCGCCCUGCGCUCACCAGAGAUGAGGUUGGCCAUAGUGUUGGAGGGCACAAAGAGGGUGCGCCCCAGCCCUAGCAGCUCCACAGCCAUUUCUUGCAGCUCUGCGGAGGGACAGGGAAGCCGCUGUGCUUGCACACUCGGGUGUCAGCACCGUCCAUGCUGCUUUCCCUGUGUCACUUGGGCCAGAGCACGCCCUGAGCCCAGGUGAGGCCCCUAGCCCGAGGCUCCGGUGAGCAGCUGAGUGGGUUUGGAGCCCCAUCCACCAGCUGCACACUCUGUGGGCUUAGCAACCACACAUCCAGCCCCACAGGGCCCUCAGUCAACUCUGCACCCCACCUACCCUGGGCCAUGGCCUCUCCCCGCUCCCCCCAAGAACCUCUCUUGUGGUUUGAA